CCGGCGGGGGUGCGGCAGCUCGGCCCGGUAGCUGGAAAAUAACCGGCUCUGAGGGGCCUGUGUGGUCCCAGGUAUCCCUCCUCAGUGGAGGGAGAGUGUCCGCGCUGCCUGCGGCUUAGCCUGGCCGUGUUCACCAGGAGCGUCCCGAUGAAAGUCCUCAGGCUUGGAAGGCCGGCCGAGCCGAGCUGGCAGGGUUAGCUCCUGGGGGCGGUGUGAGCUUUUUUAGUCAAAGGAACUGUUCUUCCCUCACGUGGGUUUCUCCCUCGCACUCAAUAGAAAGGUGUUCAGUUCACUGAAGGAAGAGGUGCAAGUCGAAGCUUUAAACCCUCAGUUCCCAGUCUUCUUGAAGAACUCGGAUCUUUGCGCUUACCUGUAUGCUGAGCUUACUGUGAGCAGAUGAAGUUUGCAUCUGUUUCAUAAAAUCCAAAAAAGACCACCGAACAGGAAACAACUGGAUUUUGAACUGCACUUUAAUGCCUCCAUGCAGGAAGACAGGAUCAUAGUAAGCAAUGCUUUUGAUAAUAAAUGGAGCAUUCGUAUCUGAGCAGUCUUUAAAAGUUAAAAACAAAUACAGCUUAUUAAGUAUAGAUACUUUUAAGAUGUCACGGGUAACAAAGAGUUAACCUGCCUUUAUAAAAUGUAGUGUUUAUUAUGCUCUUCUAUCAAAAGAGAAUUAAUGGAUUUACCCCUGUCUUUAUGCUUCAUCCUAGCAGUAAAGCUAACCAAAUUGUAGGAGGAAACAUAUGUGCCUGCCCUAUGCAGCAUAGUGUAAUUAGGUAUAUUUAUUUAUAUUGUGAAUAUUGAUGAUCAUCCAGUGAGCCAUCAGGUAUUACCUUUUGUCAUAUGAAGUGCAGAAGUUCUCUGAGUGAGUAAAUGAUCUAAGUGACCAUCGCUGUAUUCCUGGGAUCCAAAACUACCGGUGACAUUCAUGCAACUGCAGAGGCUUGCCCAGCUAUAACGUCACAGUAUCACAGAAUGGCCAGGGUUGGAAGGGACCUCUGGAGAUCAUCUAGUCCAACCCACCGCUAAAGCAGGGUCUCAGCUUCAUCCUCAGCUUCCUCUAAGAUAAGAGGGGCUUAGCAAAAAAAAAGAGUAAGAUUUCUCUCGGUUUUAGCAAUAGAACUGAUCACCAACUAAAUGAAUGUGGUUUUUUUCCACUGUCUUGACUGAAAAUAAAUUUGAAGUGCCUGCUUAAACCCUGCAACUCCUCUGAAGCAAUCGGGGCAGCGCUUUCCAAGGGCAGAAACUGUAAUAGACUAUUUUCAUCUCUAAACAUAAGCAGCUGAAGUUCCCCUGAAAUUAGGUAAAUUGUAUUGCUUUGUACAAAGGUUCAAGUUGAUUCCCAGGUUGGGGGUUAAAAUUUUCAAAACCUGUGAAGCUGCGUUGCUUCUGUGAGGUUUCCAGCUCAAUAAUAAAUAGCCUUACUCAUAGCAAAUAGGAGGAAAAACAGAAUAACGGACUUCUUUCACCAGUAAAAUUCACAUACUGUCCGAUAGUUUUUUUUUUCCCUGCAUGUUCCAGUCUCAGGAAUACUUUGGCUUCACAUAUGCACCACUUCUUUUACACCGUGUGCCCACUUUUUACUUAAGCCUGAGCUUGGGCCUGUGUUUGGGGAUUACUAAGCCUGUGUUGAGCACUGUGCUGCUGUGGCUGCAGUGGUACUUGAAGAAGGCAGUUUAAAGUUGGAAGGGGUCUCUUUACAGUGUGGUUGAGUUUUGGAGGUACACAACGCAGUAUGUAGGCUUAGCUUUCUUAAAGAAAAUCCUAUGCCCAGCUUUAAUUAUUGAGCUCUUGGUUCUCCUCCCUGAUACUCUGCCCUACCAUUAAGAGACCAGACUGGUUUUCCUUGAGAACUUUCCAUGGCCUGUUUAUGCCCAUGAUACUUUAUUGCUCAAGGCUGACAAACAAUGGUGUUGCUACAGUGCGUUACACCCUCUGUUUUUCCUUUCAGCAGCCUAAGCUUAUUUUUUUCAAAAAAACCUUUCCCCGCUUCAGAUGUCGCACGUGGCUGCUCAGGAGAAUGACAUUUCUCUCUGAAACAUGCUCAGAGUAAAUACAUGAAUUUAAAUGUCAGAAUGUUUGAGUUGUGAGAGACUGGGAGUUGAACAAGUAUCUUAAGACCUGUGUAAUUUUUGAUGCUUUACCUCACACAGGAAAGGGCUGCGAUUCUCAUUCCUCUGUCUGAUGGUGAGUUCUUCAGAGGGAACGUCUGUUUCAGACAGAAAAAUAAACUGAAAACUUCUUCAUCCUGUAACUGACCCUGCCACUGUCAUGCCAAUCUAGAAAAAAAUUAUUUUCUCAUCUAUGAGAAAUAUUCUUAUGCUAGUGAAAAAUCCACCUAUUUCAGAGAAGGGUAUUUUUUUAUUUAAAUCCGUAUCUUUAAGAAGCAAGUCAAACUUGUCAGCCAUGUGAUUUAGUUUACUCAUCUGUAAAAUUGAUGUGUUUCCUCCUUAGCCGAGGAGUGUGGGUGGCGUUAUUUCUAAUGUAAGUGGAAGAAAAAUAGUUUGUGCUAAGAAUGAUUCUUUCUAAAAUACUAGUUAUUAAAUAUAUUCUGGUUUGAGUAAAAUCCUUGGUAUGUCAUGAGGCUUUGUUUCAAUGUCGAAUACAUUUUUAUGGGCAUUCCAACUUUGAACUCUCCUAUCAAGUUACUGGCCCGGCAGCAAUGUCCCGCAGUCUAUGUUACAGGAAUAUGAUGUUGCUUAUAUAAAUGCUGUCACAGCCAGGUGGCUAUUCUGUUUUUGCUAAUUGUGUUGGACUCCAGUGCCAGCAUUUGGUAGUCCGGUGAGAUUAACUCAAUGGAAUUUCACCAUUUAUGCCAGCAUGAGCUUUUUUCACCUUGUAUCUUUUGUACGUCUUAGUGACGUUACGGUAUUUGUAACUUCAUAUGGUAUAUUUGAGUCCUGUUCUCUGUAGAUACCAAGUGUGAGGUUACUCACUGAUGUACCGCUAGAGCCAGGCUGACAUCAUGCCUAUAUUGUUACGGAAACAAUGAGGUCGUUGAUAAUGUUUUGAUGAUUUAGCUGAUGCCUUGGUUGUAAGAGUCUGCCAUAUUUGUUGCUGUAUGGAACAUCAUACCAGAUAGCGCCGUGUUCUUAAGCGGGACAUGAAUCAGCGUGAAAGCAGCUUUUAUAUUGUCUUCUCUGGAAGUUCGCUGUAUGUUCUUCAUCAGCCUUUCAGUAUGUUAGUCUUCUGUAUUUGGAAGUCAUCUAUUCCUGAUUUGACUUCCCUGCUCUUGACUAAACUUACCGGUUUGCAGCCUUCUUUAUAACUCCGUACAUCAGUGGAUAUCAGUAUGUGAUAGAUACAUCGACUAUGGAAUGAUCUUGGUGUCAUCACUGUAGAGCAAACACAAUUGCAAAAGCAAUUAUUGUUAGUUGUGAUUUACAGUGUGGUAGUGUUUCCCCUUUCUUCCUUGUUCAUCAAACUUCUCAAUGGCAAUCAAAUGCCUUACGUGUAUAUCUGCAUAUCUUUUGAAAAUGAGACGACAUUUCUAGUCUUUAACUGUACAACAGUAAAGAACAGAUACUAGAUGGGUUCUAGGUUCAACAGUGCUCGGUGUUUUGCAUGUGCAUAUUGAUAUUUUCCCUGCAGAAUUUGGUCUACAUAGUUCUUGCCAAAAAGGAGACUUGUUCACAGCCAGAUUGAAAAUUUGUCGCAGCUAUAAAAUCCAUUUAACAAGAAAACAUCAUUAAAAGCCUUUCGUUGGUUGGUUGGUUGGUUGUUUUUUGUCUGUGUUCUCUGUGAACCUGCAAAUACAUCCUCAGUAUAUCUCCUGAGAUUAUGAAGUCUGUCAUUUUCAAGAGAAGCAAAACACACACUUGCUAGGACAAGUAUACCUUUUUUAUUUUUGUCUUGAUGCCCUUAAGUUGACUUGAUAACCUCUAAAUUUUCUGUGAUUCUUUUGAUUGUACAGCACUUGUGACCCCUAAAUGAUAGUUCCUAAUAGAGCAAACUUUUGAAAGUCAAAAUAAAUUUUGUGAGAAAGGGUGGUCUCAGUAUUUGAACUGUUUCUUAAGACCUAGCUUUGUCUAGAAUUAUCAUUAAAUUCAUCACAAUUUAAUUAAAGUCUUCACAAACCUUGCUUUUAUCAAUGAAAAGAAUUCCUCACACCAAAGUGAAAAUAAUAUUAUCACAACACAGAUGAAGGAGUUUCAAAUCAGUGCAGAUACUGGGUUAGCGCUUGCAUUGUGUCCCUUUACGAGUGGUGUUCUGCCUUGUAAAGCGAUACAAAUUUAAAAUUAGAAAACAGAUUUUUCUGUGCAGCAACACUCCUAUUUGGAUACCUACAGCUAAAACCCAAUUUAAAUAAAAAUCUAUUUGGUAUUUCCCUAGGCUGUUAUGUCAGAAAUUCUGAUUGACUGCCUUUGAAACUAUUUUUAUAAAUUUCUGGUUGUAACUAGCACUUAGUUACCAAGCGAGCAGCUGGAUUUGCAAAGAAGCUGAAUCCCUUGGGUAGUGCUAUCUGCUAAGGUCAUUCAGGUAGAUUAGAAGAGCAUAAUUAAGGAUGUAGUAUAAGAUCUAAAAGCUUCCUUAACAAAAUGUCAAUUACAUUGUAGUAUGCCUGACUGAAAUACUAAUAUAUCUUUUUCCUUUUUUUCAGCUCAUAUGUCACCAUCAGGGCACAUGUCUGCCCCUUUGGCUUUGAAAAUCAGUUUAUUGAUAUUAUCCAUAAAAACAAAAUGUCACCCGAGCAUAGUAAAUGUAAUUUAUGCAUUUGUCCAGUUGUUUACAAAGGAUUUAUAUCAGCAGUUUAGCAAAUUAAGACAAAUGACAUUUCUCAGUGCCCUUUUUGUGGCAAACGGGUGGUUGUGGUGUUUUUCCUGACAUGAUACUAAAGGAAAGCAAGACAAAAUACUUCUCUAAUGGCUUGUUAUAUCACCAAGAUGGUGUAGCAAGAAGUUAAUUGAAAAAUCAGUUUCUGUUGUCUGAGUUUGGUUAAUUUGUCUUGAAAAAGCACUGUCAUGGUAAUUUAGCAAAUUGGACUGUGGUUGUUUAUUUCCUUGUGAGCAAAGGCGAAUGCAAAUACUGUAUUUCUGACAUUUAAAGUUGUAGGAAAAUUAUUUUAAAAAUUUCCAUAGUCAUGGCAAGUCAGUGAAUUUAGAUACAUUUUCUACUUCUACCUGUCAAAUUAUAUUUAUAAAUAUGUAUUCCGUACUUCCUGUAAUAUGGAAGAAAAUGGAACUUUCCCGUGAUAGACCAGGUCAAAUAAAAUCCCUGUUGAAUAUCUGAAGUCUUAAUGUGGACUUUUGGGUUUCGAAAUGGAAAGCUGUGAUUUCUAAACCCACCGAUUCUGCCUAAUUUAGAAAGGAACUAAAUCUCCCGACACAGUGCCGUUUGGUUGGCAGAUCCCCAGCCUCGGCUGUGCGGACGCAGCACUGUCUGGGGCCGGCGGAGCUGGAGCAGCCCCAUCGCUAGCUCAGGGCUGAAGUCAGAGCGGGUGGAGAAGACGCAGCGUGCCUGUGCCUCCGUCCUGGAGCGGUGCCUUCCCCUGGAAACUGCGAUGGGGAGCGUCCUGGCAGCUGGAACUGCAGGGUAGGAAAUCUGUGCUUCCAUUGCACGAAUGGAAAACAAGCUCCGGUAGACAAGUUUGGAGAUCUUAGCUGAAAACAAUUUUUUUAUUGUUUGGGGUUUGGUUUUUUGUUUGGUUUUUGUUUGUUGUUUUUCUUUUUUUUUUUAAUCUUAUAGCCAACUUCAGCUUGCCUUUUUGGUGGCAAAACCAGUCCAAUAACAUUCUCUGUCCUUUAAAAACACCUGUAUAGACAGAAAGGUCUGUGUGGAAGAGAAAAAAUUGCAGGGUUGGGCUUGUAUCUCCUGUGCAGCGUCACUUGAAGGUUUUUGAGGGACGAAGCUUCCCAAGUCAAACGUUUUGUGUUUUGCUUCUGAUGUGUUUUAUUUGAGAUGACUCCACUGAGUUCAAAGACUGCCUUAUUCAUGGAGCGAAUGGUAUUUCUCUGACUGUCUGAAGAACAGAAAUAUUAAUGGCUGCAGUUCUCGUGCCUGUGCCUAAACUGAUGAGUGACUAACAUCUGCCUCUUUCUGAAGCGUCUGCUGGGACUUGACCAACUGUUACCUGCGCGAGACGUAAGAAAAGACAGAAUCCAUAUUUUCACGUAUACCCAUUUGUUCCUAACGCCUGAAAAGAGAGCUCAGAGCGCAGGUGCCUAAGAAGGGGCUCAGAACUGAAGGCCAAAAGCUGUGUUGGGACUGAAGUGAGGGACGUUGGCAUACAAAGCCCUAAAAUCCAGUUCUGCUCUGGAAAGCCAGGGCAGCAAGCUGCAUGACACCUCUUCAUCGGAGUCCUAGGCUCAGAUCUGGUGGAGAGUCAUACCUGUGCUCCGCUCCGUUUGUCGCAAGCAGCGCUUCUUACAUUGGUAGGAUUAAUCGCACUGUGUUCAGGUGAGGAUCAUGGUAAAUCUUUGCAGAACUGGUCAGUGACCUCCAUGUCAGAUUUAUGUGCCUUGUAACUACAAAGCUCCUCUUUGGCAAUUGUUGGCUACGUAACAGCCUCGUUGAUCUGGAAGUCAAACUGCAUGUUUGGGUUCUUUUUCAUUCGUAAGGAUAUUUACGCAUUUAUUUACACAUCUGUAAAGCCAUUACCUACUGGGAAAAACCUGAGAAGAAUUUAGGAAGUCACAAGAAGCAGCAGAUGUUAGCUCCCUCUGAGGUAGUUCUACAAGGUUUAGGUAAGGAAAGUUAGGAAAAAUGUGUUUCUGUGUUUCCUUAUUUAAAUCAGUGUAUUAAAAAAGUUGUUUGGAAAACAUACUGAGCUAUGAAAAGUCCUCUUUGCUCCUACCUAAUUCUGCAUGUGUGGAGUUAUCUGCAGUGUCUGCAAACUUUUUCUGAAAGCCUUUUCUCUGGUAAUUGCAGUAGUUUUGGCUGCCUAUAUGGAGCGUGUUCAGAGGUCUUAGACUCUCUUCGGUCAUAUCUUCUACUUGAUUUUAAUGUGUGGUCCUGUUCCGGAAAGUGUAAGUAGAAAUGGGGUUGGUUUAUUACAUUUUAUCUGUUGACUUACUGAAAGUGUUUGAGACAAAUAGAAAUUUGCAUUUACUCUCCUUUUUGGUUUUAUACUCAAAAGAGAGGAAAAUGCACUGUACUUUUGUUUCUAGGUAUUUAUUUCUCUGCUUGUAAAUGCUGGGACUUUGUAUUUUCCUGCUCCACCCUUUGCUUCUUUAAGUAAUUGUCUUUGAGGUUUGGGGUUUUGUUUGGCAUUUUUAUUUUUGUUUCUUUCUCCAAACGUGUUUGUCAAAUAAGUAGAAUAUCCUCUUGCCUCUGGCUCUUUUCUGGGGAAUUGAAGGUUGUUUGGGUCAACAGUGCUGGUCAAAAGUAGAAUUAUGAAAAUGCUGGAGAGAGAAGUCACUGAAGGUCUUUUGUAAAUGAGAGAUUGUUUAGGAAUAGCGCUUUCAUAAGAGGAGGGAGCUUGGAUUUUACUUGAAUUCAAGCUCCUGCUGUCACUGAGGAAAUAAAGCUUCCUUGGGCAGCCCAUUCCAGUGCUUCACAACCUUCCCGGUGAAGAAUUUUUUCCUGAGCUAAACCUCCCCUGGCACAACUUUGAGGCAGUUUCCUCUUGUCCUAUCACUCGUUACCUGCGAGAAAGUCCUGUGUUUCUUUAUGGAAGCAGUUCUCUAGAGGAAAACGUUGUUGGUUUGGGUUUGGGUUUUUUUGUUUUUUUCAUUACAGCAAGCAAAGGAGUAACUACACAUGUGCCUGGAUGUGGUGGGUUGCCUGGACAGGAGCUGCAGCUCUUUGUGGGGAAGGGAGCAGGUGUAUUUCUUACGGGCUCUCUGCCUUUUUCUGUUUGACACGGAAUACUUCCUCCACUGUAAAUUUAAAUUUACUGUAAAUCGAAGCCCAGAGAUGCCAGCCUGUUCAGUUUUAUCAGGUGUUUGUGAACUUGCCUUAUCAUUUUAGUUUCCAAGAGUAGCUCUUGUGCUGGCUGCUGCCGUGCUCUACAGAAGGAACUCAGAAGCUCUGGCCUAGGAUUUUUAUGCAGGUGCCUUGCCUUCCUGGUGUUGAGGAUGGCUACAGUCUGAAAUUCAAGACUAAAUUGUCUCAAGUUCAAGGUUAAAUUCAAGGUGAAAGUCUUCAAGGCACCUUAAAACAGGCAAACAAAUGUCCCUGCCACCACCUUCCUUAGAAACUGGUGUUCACGUUACAGACAGAAUAGCUGCUGACCCAAAAGCAUAAAAUACUUGUGUUAAACUGAGCCCAGUGCCCCUGUCUUUCUUGUUUUUGUGGGUGCUUCUUGGAGAAAGCUCAUGGCCUUACUUUAUCCUCCUCAGCACAUGAGGGUCUGGGGCGUCGGGGGAAAUGUUUGCACAGGCCAAACUUCGGGAACUGCUGGCCCUUGUGGAGCAAAUUCCACUGCAGUGUUUGUUCCUGGGGGUCCUGCUACUGCUACCCCUGCUGUGGGAAGCCCCAGCAUAUUUACAGGCCUGAUCUUGUAAAAUCUGAGUCUUCUGAUAGCUGGGGGAUUUUGUCUUUUCUGUGGCUGGUUAAUUGCUCGUAAUGCCUUCCUCUGAAGGGAGACAUGGAACUGCUGUGGAGUUAGACUAUUGUCCUUGAAAAUUGCCAGGCUGGUGUGGUCUAUUGCUUUAAUUCCUCUUCUUUAAACUUCUGGGUUUAAUAUUAUUACUGUAGCACAUAAAUUAGGGCAAAGAAACUGCUGUUUGGUGAGUGCUCAGGCAAGAGGUGGCAACAGAAAGGACGUACGGUUGUGAAGUUAUUUAGGAACCCACGUCCAUAAUCUAGUACUUCUAAAAAUCCUUUUGGUCAGAUGGUGUGUUUUUCUUUAUUUCCCAGCUGGAUUCAAAAUAUGCUUGUAUAAAAUGUAGCCUUAGGAGACAGAACCACUGGUGACACAAUUCCGGGUGCUUCUAUUGCCCGCUAGUGCCAACAGGAGCCACGGAGGCAGGCACGUGAAGGCGGCAGCGUCGGGGAUGCGCGGUAGGGCAGGCAGGGUUUCUUACCUUUUCUUUUUCUGCUGUCUUGGCUGAGAAUACAUUUCUACUGAAGAAUUAUCCAAGUUCAGUGCUCAGAGAAAAGACAUACGAGAGAGAAACCGGGAUCUCCAGAGCUCUCACAUCUGAUUUGCUGUGUUUUGGGGAGCUGUUAGUUGUGUCCAACGGGUAGUGGAGUAUUUUCUUUCUCUGCUGAAUCUUCUCCCACCAGGUACGUCUCCUUGAAUAUAUGUAUAUGUUCAAGUAUAUUCUGGAGAAAUUUGCAAGUAAAAUAUUCUUGACUUGUAGUUUUUAAAUGCUGUAUUUGCUAUAGAAAGUGCCCUUUGUGAUUGAAAGUGCUUCAGCAAUAUUGACAAAUCCAAGUAACUUCUUACAAAAGGAAGAGCACACAUAUUUGUAGGGAGAAUAAAGAAGGUAAGACAGGGUUAAUCUGAGAAAGUAAAGGAUAUUAUUUACUUGCAGUCAUGGUAACCAUCACUGGGACACUCUUGUUUCAGCUCAGUGACAAACACGGUCCCUGGGAGUAGAUUGUUUUUAUUCCGCAAGCAGCUCUUUUCUGCCUGAAACUGCACUGCACCUGCCUGUUGGGAUAGCGUGAGGACGUCACAAUGCCAGAUUUGAGACAAAAUGUGAAAUCUACCAAAUGUGUUUCAGUGUUUUGAUGCAAAUACCGUUAGUAUGACAUCAUGGCUAUGUCUUUAAUUCUUUUAAGAGUUUCAGCUGGCUACCUUAAACUUUUCAGGUUCACUUAAUUUUGCUGGAAUAAUUGGUUUUCCUCAUUUGCAGCGGAACAGUGCAGUAAGUUUCUUGAGGGUGAGUGUCCUUGCACAGCUGGUAAAUACUGGAGCGUGAACCGGCUGAUGUAGCAAUCAGAGAUGCUCAGAUGGCAACGUAGGUCAGGGGCAGUAUUUUCCCCUAUACUGACACAUGGAGUUCAUUUUCAGAUUGUACAGCUUUACAUGUGCACAUAUAGAUGUAUAUACGUGCAUAUAGGCGUGUAUGUAUUUUUUUUAUUGGCAGGACCUUUCCCCACCCCUAAAUCCCAAACCUUGCCUGUGAAAUUAAUGGUAUAGUUUAAAUACUUCAUUAGACUUGAUUGAGAUCCAGGUGUGCAAAGGCUGGAAGAAAUGCAGACUUUGUGAAGCUUUUUAAAGCGCAUUGAGGAAGACGGAUAUGGACAUGCUGAGCCAUGUUGCAGUUUGAUAUGGUUAUGCAGAUGGUCUACGGCCCUCGCGUACCGGUGGAGGCUGGAGGGAAUCCCAUUGCGCUGCUGAGACAUGAAGGAACUCCUGGAGCAAGUCCAUGGACAGCUGCUUUACUGCUGCGCUUCGCUAUCUUCUCCAAGCACCAGCAAUGCCCAAAGCCAGCAGCUUCCCCAAGCAGUUCAAGAUGCCAGGAAAUCUACUUUGAAUGCGUUUGUAUGUUGCAAUAAAUAAUUUGUGAGAGGAAUUACUUUAAAUUUGGCAAUGUGUGCUUAUCCAGAUGGACAAAUGUGACUGCAGGUGUGAAAACAAGUGGAGUUCCCCCGAGGCAAACCCGUACCGUGUUUGGGCUGCGGCAGGUGGAGCCGUCACAGGUAAUUCACCCGGUGCCAUGUGUCAGCAGGAGAGAGACUGCAGAUGCCUGGGCUGGAGAAGCACGAGAAGCCAGCCCUGCCACCGCCAGCAGGACAGGGUGAGCCACCAAACCCACUUAUUCCUUACCAGGGGUCUUUUGGACAAACACACGUCGAAUCGAUCCGUGGCUUCAGAGCAUCUUUUAAGAGCACCGGUGUAAAAAUGAGGUCUUGGGUGGUCAUUUAUGGUUCAAGUAGCAGUUUAUAUAUUUAUUAUAAUUAUACACAACCUUGACAAUCUAUAUUGCCAUUCAAAAAUAAAUUGAAAUAUUGUCAAUCUGCACAUGAUCUGUCACUAAUAAGAAUCCCAUUUACAUACAUAGUAAACAUUUUGCAUACUUAGAACACUGCUUUAAAUUCCGACACUCCCAUCUCACCCCCGCCUCCCCUCCCAUCCUAUGGAGUUAUGUUCAGGCUGUGUAAACAAACUUCUCCCACUACGCAACAUUCAGGGACUACCACCUUUUUUUAUUAAUUUAAUUAAACCAUUUCAGUGCUUUGUAGAGGUGGCCGGUGGGUACAGCUCUUAAAAC